GACGAACGCUGGCGGCGUGCUUAACACAUGCAAGUCGAACGGAAAGGCCCUGCUUUUGUGGGGUGCUCGAGUGGCGAACGGGUGAGUAACACGUGAGUAACCUGCCCUUGACUUUAGGAUAACUUCAGGAAACUGGGGCUAAUACCGGAUAGGAGCUCCUGCUGCAUGGUGGGGGUUGGAAAGUUUCGGCGGUUGGGGAUGGACUCGCGGCUUAUCAGCUUGUUGGUGGGGUAGUGGCUUACCAAGGCUUUGACGGGUAGCCGGCCUGAGAGGGUGACCGGCCACAUUGGGACUGAGAUACGGCCCAGACUCCUACGGGAGGCAGCAGUGGGGAAUAUUGCACAAUGGGCGGAAGCCUGAUGCAGCAACGCCGCGUGCGGGAUGACGGCCUUCGGGUUGUAAACCGCUUUCGCCUGUGACGAAGCGUGAGUGACGGUAAUGGGUAAAAAGCACCGGCUAACUACGUG
rnacentral:rRNA from 1 species